AGUGAACGCUGGCGAUAGGCCUAACACAUGCAAGUCGAACGGCAGCACAGUAAGAGCUUGCUCUUACGGGUGGCGAGUGGCGGACGGGUGAGGAAUACAUCGGAAUCUACUUUUUCGUGGGGGGUAACGUAGGGAAACUUACGCUAAUACCGCAUACGACCUACGGGUGAAAGCAGGGGAUCUUCGGACCUUGCGCGAUUGAAUGAGCCGAUGUCGGAUUAGCUAGUUGGCGGGGUAAAGGCCCACCAAGGCGACGAUCCGUAGCUGGUCUGAGAGGAUGAUCAGCCACACUGGAACUGAGACACGGUCCAGACUCCUACGGGAGGCAGCAGUGGGGAAUAUUGGACAAUGGGCGCAAGCCUGAUCCAGCCAUACCGCGUGGGUGAAGAAGGCCUUCGGGUUGUAAAGCCCUUUUGUUGGGAAAGAAAAGCAGCAGGUUAAUACCCCGCUGUUCUGACGGUACCCAAAGAAUAAGCACCGGCUAACUUCGUG
rnacentral:rRNA from 1 species